rnacentral:lncRNA from 1 species
AUACUAAAGGCGUAGGCACUUCCCUGGGUCAUAUAACCAGUAUCCUGACAGGACCCAAGAUCAAUAAGGGUCAACUUCUCAGCAUGUCCAAUCAUCCUACGAAGUUUCAACAUUCUAGGUCAAAAGUUAUUGAUAGGAAAUUUUAUUUCGUGUUCAGGCCCCUGUGACCUUGACAUUUGAUGGAGUGACUCCAAUGACAAAAAAAGUCGUCUAGUCUAUAAGCCCUACAAAUCUAUGAAGUUUAAAGGUUCAAGGUCAAAUGGUUCUCUAGUUAUUGAUCGGAAAUGAAAUGUGACGGACAGACGGACGGACGGACCGACCGACGGAUAUGGAUCAGACUAGCAAAAAUGCAGCACACGAUCCUAUCCUUUUUAUUUGAUUAAUUUUUUAAGUAUAAUCUGAGGUUUUAAAAAAUUAGAGUUUAAUUUUUACAUUGUAGAAUACUUUUCGUUCCAAAAGUGCCAAAUUACCUUAAUCGCGAAAAUUGGAAGAAAAGUGUAAUGCUCUGCACUCUUUCACAGCAUCAGCAUUAGGUCUAUCUGCAAACUGAGACAAGUAAGAUACACUGAAACCGAUCCAAAUCGGGGACAAUAAAAAACCGGAAACUUCUCCAAACUGUCACAAUUGUAAAACAUCCAUUGUUAUGUAUAUUUCAUUUUCCCGUGAGGCAAAUAAUUGUAUCCUUACCUAGUUUUAAGACAUUCUGUAUUUACUAUAAAAUUCUAUGGUAUUCCAGAAUAUUCUAUUAAACUGAUAAAGAGCUAUUUUUAAAAGGGAUUGUCCUUGAUUUUUCCAGAAUGUUCUUUUUAUUCUUAGUGUAACAUGAACGUUCUGGAACCUUCCAUGAUACAUUAAAUAGUGUCGUAUCCGACGACGGGUCAUAACUUAGAUUACAGAACUUAGAUGAAAACUUUCCUGCAUUACUUACUACAUGUAACAAAAUAUUACCAGUUCGGAUAUUUAAUAUUUUGAAGGACUGUUUGAAGGAUUUACUAAAAUUUGUGGAUUAUAAUUCUUAGAUAUACUAAAGUUUCUUUUGAACUGUUGUGAAAUAUUGUGGAAUUUAUUUUGAUUGGAUUUAAAUUAGAUAUGGACAGGCUUUGGACCUUUUUAACAUAUUAUUGGAUUUUACGUCUCUUUGAGAUUUUUGAAGUUUUUCAGAUGUGUUACCGCGAGCAGUCAACCUCACCAAGGCCAGUGUUCCUGGAUUCUGUACCAGUACAAACCUGUUCUCCCCAAUUAAUUACAAACUUCUCUGUAUGAAUAAACGGUAGAGGACGAAUGAUUUCAAACACAGUGCAUUUUACCAAAUCGUCAUGACCAUGCGAUCCCGUAGAUUUGCGCCUUGACUAUUGAGCUAAGCGGUUGGAUCGAAAGAGGAUUUAAUAUAACUUACUUUAAACGUGUUACGUUACCAUUUCAAUAAUCGUGAUUGUUUCAGAAAAUAUUGAGAACAGAAUUUCUUAUUAACAAUUUCAAUAAUAUUCAUGAAUAUGCAAAUUAGUUCAUGAAGUUCAUAUAAAAAAACUGUGAAUAAAAGGCUAGUGUUCACCUUCAUUUUGGUACCAUUUUUAUUUGUAUAUCACACAAACUAACUGAGGUAUGAUGGAACUACCAUCAACUGAUG